AUUUUAGACCAGUUUGUAAAUUCAAGAAUGGURACUGUUGAAUGCAACAUUUUUUUUCAAAUCUUUCUGCAAACAAAGCAAUCCUCAAUACGCAUUUAGCUUUGAACCUAAAGUUUGUCCACGAUCAACAGCCCAUUUCUUUUCCACAAAGUGAAAAAUCUUUUCAAUGUUGGAUGGAUGUGAACCUUCAUUUAGGUGCAAUAUAGCGAUCCUUCGCAAGUGAAAUAUUAACAUUUCCUCGCAUUGAAGUACACCCACAGACAACAUUUCAUCAGGAAUGACGCCACUUAUGAAUCACCCUGUAGAUCCCGUGAGAGUAAAUAAAGAAGAAUUGAAGACAACCAAAAAAUAAAGCGAGCACAUCAAUCCAAUAAGGUUUCUGCUAGUGCAACUGACGGACAAUUGCGUCACGACGCAUCGCGUUUCCGUGGCAACUCCCUACGUUCCCCAGGAUUUCGGGAUUAAUUGAUCGCGGGGGCCUGUUUUUGGGCCCCAAAAUUCGGGAGUUCAAUGCUCAAGUCAUUAUGCAUGUCACGUGACGGAAACGAGUUGCCAUGUUUACUCAACGAAAGAUUUAUGACUAACCGUUAACUGGGAUACACAACAGAAGGUUCUUGUUUUGAUAUUAUUGAUCUAAAUGUAUCUACUAAUCAGAUAAUCACAAAAUAUUCGGACGCCCCGUGCUUUGAGGUGAAUUUCUACACGAAUGUGCAAUAUUUGUUACGUAUUUUUUUUAUUGAUUGAAUAAACAGUAUGAUUCAAAA